AGCGAACGCUGGCGGCAGGCCUAACACAUGCAAGUCGAACGAAGCCUUCGGGCUUAGUGGCGGACGGGUGAGUAACGCGUGGGAACGUACCCUUUGCUACGGAAUAGCUCCGGGAAACUGGAAUUAAUACCGUAUGUGCCCUACGGGGGAAAGAUUUAUCGGCAAAGGAUCGGCCCGCGUUGGAUUAGCUAGUUGGUGGGGUAAUGGCCUACCAAGGCGACGAUCCAUAGCUGGUCUGAGAGGAUGAUCAGCCACAUUGGGACUGAGACACGGCCCAAACUCCUACGGGAGGCAGCAGUGGGGAAUAUUGGACAAUGGGCGCAAGCCUGAUCCAGCCAUGCCGCGUGAGUGAUGAAGGCCUUAGGGUUGUAAAGCUCUUUCACCGGAGAAGAUAAUGACGGUAUCCGGAGAAGAAGCCCCGGCUAACUUCGUGCCAGCCGCCGCAGUAACAC
rnacentral:rRNA from 1 species